CUUUUGUGGCCCGUCUUUUGCAGCGCUGCAUUGCAGGUAGAUUGCAUCGGUGAUGAGGGAUACUGUCAGGGACCGUGUGGCGAGAAAGUUCAGGAUCAGCUGGAGUGCGUUGUCUUGGGCUUGUUCAUCCGGGUGCGUUGAGGAAAAUUAAGCUGAGUCGAGGAAGGUGGUGACCGUGCACGAGUUUGGGAGCUGACUGGAGUGCGCUUUUCCAUCGGAUAUAGAUAUCGUUAAUAUAUUUAUAAAUAGAUGUAGAUUUAAUUGGAUGUGUCCAUGUC